rnacentral:rRNA from 1 species
GAUGAACGUUGGCGGCGUGCCUAACACAUGCAAGUCGAGCGGGGUUGAGGCGAGAGGUAACUCGAGCUUCUACCUAGCGGCGGACGGGUGAGUAACGCGUGGGCAACCUGCCUCAAGGUUUGGGAUAACAGCCCGAAAGGGCUGCUAAUACCGGAUAUGCCUAUGGCCUCGCAUGGGGCUAUGAGCAAAGGGGAAACCCGCCUUGAGAUGGGCCCGCGUCCCAUCAGCUAGUUGGUGAGGUAACAGCUCACCAAGGCGACGACGGGUAGCCGGCCUGAGAGGGUGACCGGCCACACUGGGACUGAGACACGGCCCAGACUCCUACGGGGGGCAGCAGUGGGGGAUCUUGCACAAUGGGCGAAAGCCUGAUGCAGCGACGCCGCGUGAGCGAAGAAGGCCUUCGGUUGUAAAGCUCUGUCUGGAGGGACGGAACAAAAUAGACGGUACCGUCCGGACGGAAGACCGACGGCUAACUAACGUGCCACGCAGCCGCGGUAAAUACACGUGUA